UACGUAGGUGGCGAGCGUUGUCCGGAUUUACUGGGCGUAAAGAGCGCGCAGGCGGUCGUUCAAGUCGAGUGUGAAAGCCCCCGGCUCAACUGGGGAGGGUCACUCGAUACUGAUCGACUCGAAGGCAGGAGAGGGAAGUGGAAUUCCCGGUGUAGUGGUGAAAUGCGCAGAUAUCAGGAGGAACACCGGUGGCGAAGGCGGUUCUCUGGGCAUGAUCUGACGCUGAGGAGCGAAAGUGUGGGGAGCGAACAGG
rnacentral:rRNA from 1 species